rnacentral:tRNA from 1 species
AAGCUCAGGGAAAUCGUAAAGCAGUCCGCUUUUGAGAGGGAGAACUCGGAGACUUGCGAGCUGA